CCUACGGGGGGCUGCAGUGAGGAAUAUUGGUCAAUGGGCGCGAGCCUGAACCAGCCAAGUAGCGUGAAGGAUGACUGCCCUACGGGUUGUAAACUUCUUUUAUAAAGGAGUAAAGUGAGCCACGUGUGCCUUUUUGUAUGUACCUUAUGAAUAAGGAUCGGCUAACUCCGUGCCAGCAGCCGCGGUAAUACGGAGGAUCCGAGCGUUAUCCGGAUUUAUUGGGGUUAAAGGGAGCGUAGAUGGGUUGUUAAGUCAGUUGUGAAAGUUUGGGGCUCAACCGUAGAAUUGCAAUUGAUACUGGCAGUCUUGAGUACAGUAGAGGUAGGCGGAAUUCGUGGUGUAGCGGUGAAAUGCAUAGAUAUCACGAAGAACUCCGAUUGCGAAGGCAGCUUACUGGAC
rnacentral:rRNA from 1 species